CUCGUAGGUGGUUUGUCGCGUCGUUUGUGGAAUACCGCAGCUUAACUGCGGGGUUGCAGGCGAUACGGGCAUAACUUGAGUGCUGUAGGGGAGACUGGAAUUCCUGGUGUAGCGGCGGAAUGCGCAGAUAUCAGGAGGAACACCGAUGGCGAAGGCAGGUCUCUGGGCAGUAACUGACGCUGAGGAGCGAAAGCAUGGGGAGCGAACA
rnacentral:rRNA from 1 species